rnacentral:rRNA from 1 species
CCUACGGGGGGCACCAGUAGGGAAUCUUCGGCAAUGGACGAAAGUCUGACCGAGCAACGCCGCGUGAGUGAAGAAGGUUUUCGGACCGUAAAACUCUGUUGUUAGAGAAGAACAAGGACGUUAGUAACUGAACGUCCCCUGACGGUAUCUAACCAGAAAGCCACGGCUAACUACGUGCCAGCAGCCGCGGUAAUACGUAGGUGGCAAGCGUUGUCCGGGUUUAUUGGGCGUAAAGCGAGCGCAGGCGGUUUCUUAAGUCUGAUGUGAAAGCCCCCGGCUCAACCGGGGAGGGUCAUUGGAAACUGGGAGACUUGAGUACAGAAGAGGAGGGUGGAAUUCCAUGUGUAGCGGUGAAAUGCGUAGAUAUAUGGAGGAACACCAGUGGCGAAGGCGGCUCUCUGGUCUGUAACUGACGCUGAGGCUCGAAAGCGUGGGGAGCAAACAGGAUUAGAUACCCCCGUAGUC